GGGGCACUAACAGGUCUUUAAGGUGUUUUAGUAUUUAAAUCAAGUCCUAGUCAUAGACUUUCUGGAACAGACUGUUUCUUACACAAACCAAAUUAGGGCAUCUAUUUAAAACAAUUGAAAGGCAAAGAAUUUUUUUUUUGUAAAUAGUGAUUUACAAAUGGAAUCAUCCCACUUCCAUCAUGACUCUUGACAGGUUAUUAAAAUAUAUGUGUUCAUGUGGUUAAUUUUUGACCCGGGAAUGGAAGAUGGAGAAACGACAGCAGUGUUGAAAAGAAGGAACAGUUGUGUACGUGUGUCUACGCACGUAAGACGGAGGACUCCCAACCUUGACUCCUUGAACACCUCCACGAAGGCAAGACCUCACCUGGGAUGGCCAUGGAGUGUCUUCGGGAGGCUGACCACUGCAGCUCGGAGCGCAGCAGAGACGCCCUAAGCACAGACAGUUUGGGCAACAAGGAACUCAGGAGGAACUGGGACAAACUGGAGAUUGGGGACCUCCCCCGGUUCUGAGACCCAAGAAUUCUCCUGCAUUCUGGUCUUAUCUUGGGAGCAGAUUCAGCCUCCAAUGACAUCUCAAAGGAAACCUUGCCCCAGACAGGUGGGAUGGGAGCUUACAGAAAAAAUGGAGUUGAUUUAAAGGAAGUGAGCAAACGCAGAGGGAAUAAUUCUGGUACCCUCGAGUUUGUGGAUGGAGAUGAAUUUCUGCUGCUGCCAUCGUGAGCACCGCCUUGGUGUUCUCCUGGUUAGGGGACUGCUCAUUUUAUGGAAGAAGUGUCUUUGAAGUGGGUGUCUGUGUGGCAUUUUUUCUGUCCCAAAGCCAAGCUGAAGUUGAUUAUGCUGGGCUGAGCCGCUAACGCCUUGCCGAGUGGCAGUGUUCCUAAGUCAGUUGAUGACACCGCAGCAAGAGCAGGAUCAGAAUCUGGAAAACCUUUGGCACACUCCCUGGAGAAGAGACGAAUAUAAGCAGAAGGGAAUCGAAUAAGGAAAGAAGCAACUCACUAAAAGAGGAAAAGUAAGUGAGGUAGCGAAGACGGACUCUGCACACAGCAUUACCACUCAGUCACUGGGUCAGAAGACAAACACAGACCGACAAUUCCAGUCAGCUCCUUGAAUUCUCAUUUCCUCUAAAUAACUCCCUGCCUCUCGUCUCACGUCUACCCGGAGAACCUCCCUUUUGAGGCUGGAAUCCACCCCAUCCUAAUGAACCCACCUCAUUUUUUUCUUCACUUGGAAAACAUCUAUUGAAUCCUUCCUGGGUGUCAGCCAUCAUGUAUACAAAGAAAACACCAUGCGACCUUCACCGUAACAGCAAAGACAGCUGGGCGGCACCUCCUCAUCUCCUUUUCUUUCUAGGCACACAGCUGCGUGGAAACGGCUAAGAGAAGUUUACUUUAGUUGCUCAAGGUCACAUAGCUGGUAAAGUUGCAGAGCGGGAGUUAAACUUAGGGUAGAACAAAGUCCAAACACAGAUGAUGGGCUCAAAAACAGACCCCUGGCCAACCGCUCCCUGUCCUGAGUCCCAGGGCUCUGAAUUUCAGCAAGGACUUCACUGGAAGGUAAACUUUGUGAGGGCCGGCCACCUCCCUGGAGUUAGGCAGUCAUGGGACUGAGUCCAGGCCCGCAUUUCCUCAUCAGUAAAGUGGGGAUGAUAACAGUACCUAUCUCUACAGGCGACGAGCCUAGAUGGGCAUGUGCUCACAUGCACCGUCACUAUUUAGUGGCUGUGGUGUUGAUAGAACUAAGACCCAUUAGCUUUAGCUAAAAUGGGCAGAAAUAGAAUGUAGGGUGUUGGAGAAACGACGCUGGGGACGAGGGAGAGGAUCCAGGGGGAGGAAGGGCGGCCCUGCUCUCAUUGCAGCCAGCUGACCCAACUCCAGGCGAUUUUGACUGAUUUAGUGCUGGUUGUUAGAUCAUCUCUUUUCUUCUUCACUGAAUUGACUGAUCUGGUGCUGCGUGAAGAGGAAUCUAAUAGCAUAGCUUCCUUUUAUUUUUGUUAAAGAAAUCUCAAGUUUGAAGGUUCAGUGCAGCACAGCGUAUUUCGGAUUUCUAGAGGCAAGGAAAUGACGGCGUGCGAUGGACCGCCCACUAAACUGUGGUCGUGAAAUUCGGCACCUGUGUUCACUUCCAUCGCUGGCCUGCACAGUGCAUUCUCUUUAAUCCCUGGAGAAUUGUAUUGGUAACACUUGUCACAUUUCCCACGGAAGUAUUUUGAGGAUUAGGUCAAAUUCUUAAAAUACUAGCAAUUUAACGAAAGACACUUACUCGAAUAGGAGAAAAAGCAGGGCAAGAGCUCUGUUUCCUGAUUUUAAGAGGAAUCCAGGAAUUAUUUGAAACGCACUUGGGCUUCUGCUCAUCUCGACUGUGAUGUGACCUUCCAGAACAGCGUUCAUGAGUCUGGAAUGUCCCAGGAUGCUUUGCCAGGAGUCGGGGUUGAAUUACCAGAAAAUCAAUGCGACACGAAGUGCACGUUUAUCUAGACAGUAAUUCAACACACACACUCACACACACUCUUCACGGUUUGUGAAGCUCCAGUUCAGGAGAAAAGGGAGUGUGCUAACCAGAGAUGGGAAGGACUCGUUUUACAAGUUGUUCUACUCUCUAUUCAUGAUAAAACACGAACUCCUCUGUUUAUAUACACACUCAGGAAAAUAGAUUCUGUAUCCUCUUUCAGAUUUUUAAGUUAAAUUAAAUUUUAGAUGGAUUUUCAUAACUCACCAUGCAAUUCCUUCAAGUCCUGCCCAGCAGCUCAUUCAUACGAGUUGCUGGUCUAAACCAUCUCCGUUUUCCCCUCCGUCUUCUUUUCUCCCGUUCCCUGUGCGUGUGCGUGCUUGUGUCCCUGUGCAUGUGUGUGAUUUCAGCAGUUUCCCCUCAGCAUCCAUCUUCGCUAGAGAUUCAGCCACACCCUUUCUGAGCGUGGGCGAGGUCCCCACAGGUCUGCUCAGGAUUCCUCCUCGCUAGGUCAGGACAUCCUUCCUUCCCUGGACCUGCCCGUUUCCACACUUUCUGCGCCUGGCUGCAAGCCCGAGACGCUUAGACUAUCUUGUGAGAUGAGUCCUUUCCGUUGCUGGUUAGAACUCUCCCUGAAAAUCCUCGUGCUGGGAAGAGAUCCCAGGGUGAAAAACUCAAAGAACUGAGGGAGCGGGAGAAAGAGCAGGAGCCUGGACAGCAGGUAGAAAGCGCUGGCCCUUCGUCGCACCCUGACUAAAUCACGGCACCUCCAACAGGUCCUGUGGAGGCCCCAGGGCCCGGACUCUCAGGAAACAGACGCUCCACCCGGAAACACACAUAUAUGUAUGCUAAGAGCCUCAACAAAGUGCAAAUGCCUGAACACAUCAGCCUCUGAGAACCCUGCGGUAGGGGACCGAUGAGCAGACGUCGUGAGGAAAGCAGCUGUGUCAGAAGUAACUAGAGGGCUCAGCAUAAAGGAAGAGGACAAGCGGACAUCACUGGCCAGUUCUUGGAGAAUUUUUGUUUAUGCAAAUUUUUUUCUAAUUAAGACAAUAAUACUUACAUAUUCCUGAAAAAUUCAGAACGUUCAGAGAAAUAUAAAAUUAAAAUUAAGUUGAUUCUACUCAGCAAUAAUUGCUGUAAACAUUACACUGGUCACACUUUUUCCUGUGUGCAUGCACACACACGCACGCACACACACACAUGUCCCCAAUAGAAUCAGAGGACACGUGGUUUUUUCCCCCUUAGCAACAUAUAAACGUCUGUCUUUCCAUAUCUAUAAAUGUAGACCCAUAUCGUUCUGGUUAGUGACCUUGUGGUUUUCACUGUGUCGAUACGCCAUAGUUAUUUAACCAAAUUCCUAGUGAUAAAUGUUCAGGUUAUUUCAAAUUGAUCAGCACUAUAAACUCUGCAGUAGUUCACAUCCUGUGUGUUCAUCCUAACACAUUUACCCAAUCUUUACGUAGGGCAGAUUUCUAGGAGUGGGACUCCUAAGUCAAAGGCUUUUAGAAAAGGCUUUUCUGCAUGCUGCCGAAUGUUCCCCCAGGAAGAUUGCACCAAUUUACCCUCCUGCCAGAAAUGCACGUGUGGGCCUGUUUCCCCACCUCUCACCAGCUCUGGAUACCCUCAGUCUUCUCAAUCAUCCCCAUCCCACAGCUGGUGCUUCUUUUGACACCGGGAUCCAUCGCCAUGCUUGACCCUUUUCAAGGGUAAGCUGGCAUGCCACUUUAUCGUUUAAAGAGCCAGCUGCCCACGGGGACAAAUCAGCCUUCUCCAUAAGCCAGCGAAUGUUUAUCCUGGUCUUCAAGGUUGAGCUAG
ensembl:lncRNA